CCAGCACCACAGUCACCCCUGAAGUAAACCUCUGCUUGCAGUGCUCAACAAAUUCGGGCAAUCUGCUCCUGCACAACUGCAUGUUUUUCCAUAUAGUGCCUCAAUCUCGCCUUUUAAAAACAAACAUUACGACUAAGAUGAUGUAACUAAAAGAUUUAUAUCAGGACAUACAACUAGGAACCUCAGAGCUGAAUUCGGAACUUAGUUUUGGUCUGCUUCAAAGUGUGUGCUCUACAUUAAAUCCUACUGCUACCACCCACAAAGACCUGAUUUUUAACCCAGACCUCAUAUAGUUCCUGUGGAGAAAACACAUGUGGAUUAGUAAAUAAAAGUCAAGUAGGUCUGAGGGUUGGAGGGACUGGUUCUUUAUUUCAAAAAGACACUUGUCAAUUUUCAGUAUCAAAACAGUUGCACUACUGGUUUCUCUUUCUCCCAAUUGGCCCCCAAAGAGACCACACCAAAGGAGAGUACAUUUUAAGCCAAUAAGCUGCAGGAUGCACACCUAAUAGACCUCACAGAAACCUCACCAAAAAGGGAGGAUUGGGUAGGGAAAAAAACUUCAAAAGAUCAGCACACUGCUGGCCCACAGACUAUAGAGAGCUCUCACAGCCAAAUGGGGUAGCCAGUGUGCCCCAACCCCAAAGAAGCAAUGUUUCAAAAUAAUAUAAAAUUUUAAAAGUUUUGUACAUAAGCUAUUCAAGAUUUCUCCAGCACUAACUGAUACGAAGCACAAUGAGAUGGCACUUUUAGAGACAGCAGCUUCAGACCCACAAUAGGGUGAUGAGAUGAGUUUCAUAUGGCUAAAUCAGUGGCAAAAACAUAAUUUUCCUUCCUUUCUUUCAAGAAUGCAGGGGAGCAAAUAAGUGGUCACCUCAACAUAAGGGACACAUGAUCAAUUCUGUGAGCAGUUGGGAAGGGAGUAGAGAUGGGACAAGGAUUUGGUCUCAGAGAGGUCUCACCAUCUUAAUUUGUUUGGUCACUUCUGAUGAAAAAAAUAAAAA